rnacentral:lncRNA from 1 species
CCCAAAUCCCUUCGUUGGCUGGUCGACUGACAGCGCAGCCGACAUGAGAUCGGCCAUCGACAGGAGGGCAACGAUCCGCCAUCCAAGGAAACACAAAUCUGGUGGCCGACGACGACCACCAGCACCCAAACCCAAACAAAAUCGAAACCCCUUUCUCAAAAAAAUCCGAUGACUUCGGUCACCGACGAGUGUGCACACUGGCACGGAAAGAAAGGAGGAGAAGAGAGGAAGAGGAGGAGGCUCACCUUCGACGUCGGCGAGGCUUCCCAACCAGAA